rnacentral:rRNA from 1 species
AUGGUUCAAUCAUAAAAGGUGGCUUUUAGCUACCACUUACAGAUGGACCCGCGGCGCAUUAGCUAGUUGGUGAGGUAACGGCUCACCAAGGCGACGAUGCGUAGCCGACCUGAGAGGGUGAUCGGCCACACUGGGACUGAGACACGGCCCAGACUCCUACGGGAGGCAGCAGUAGGGAAUCUUCCGCAAUGGACGAAAGUCUGACGGAGCAACGCCGCGUGAGUGAUGAAGGUUUUCGGAUCGUAAAACUCUGUUGUUAGGGAAGAACAAGUACCGUUCGAAUAGGGCGGUACCUUGACGGUACCUAACCAGAAAGCCACGGCUAACUACGUGCCAGCAGCCGCGGUAAUACGUAGGUGGCAAGCGUUGUCCGGAAUUAUUGGGCGUAAAGCGCGCGCAGGCGGUUUCUUAAGUCUGAUGUGAAAGCCCCCGGCUCAACCGGGGAGGGUCAUUGGAAACUGGGGAACUUGAGUGCAGAAGAGGAGAGUGGAAUUCCACGUGUAGCGGUGAAAUGCGUAGAGAUGUGGAGGAACACCAGUGGCGAAGGCGACUCUCUGGUCUGUAACUGACGCUGAGGCGCGAAAGCGUGGGGAGCGAACAGGAUUAGAUACCCUGGUAGUCCACGCCGUAAACGAUGAGUGCUAAGUGUUAGAGGGUUUCCGCCCUUUAGUGCUGCAGCAAACGCAUUAAGCACUCCGCCUGGGGAGUACGGUCGCAAGACUGAAACUCAAAGGAAUUGACGGGGGCCCGCACAAGCGGUGGAGCAUGUGGUUUAAUUCGAGCACGCGAAGAACCUUACCAGGUCUUGACAUCCUCUGACAACCCUAGAGAUAGGGCUUCCCCUUCGGGGGCAGAGUGACAGGUGGUGCAUGGUUGUCGUCAGCUCGUGUCGUGAGAUGUUGGGUUAAGUCCCGCAACGAGCGCAACCCUUGAUCUUAGUUGCCAGCAUUCAGUUGGGCACUCUAAGGUGACUGCCGGUGACAAACCGGAGGAAGGUGGGGAUGACGUCAAAUCAUCAUGCCCCUUAUGACCUGGGCUACACACGUGCUACAAUGGGCAGAACAAAGGGCAGCGAAGCCGCGAGGCUAAGCCAAUCCCACAAAUCUGUUCUCAGUUCGGAUCGCAGUCUGCAACUCGACUGCGUGAAGCUGGAAUCGCUAGUAAUCGCGGAUCAGCAUGCCGCGGUGAAUACGUUCCCGGGCCUUGKWCACACC